AACGAACGCUGGCGGCGCGUCUUAAGCAUGCAAGUCGAACGGCAAGAUUUGUGCUUGCACAAAUCCUAGAGUGGCGGACUGGUGAGUAACACGUGGGUGACAUACCCUUCAGUUGGGGAUAGCUAUUAGAAAUAGUAGAUAAUACCGAAUACGACCGUAGUUGUUAGAGGACUACGAGGAAAGUAGCUAAGGCUAUGCUGAAGGAUUGGCCCGCGUCUGAUUAGGUAGUUGGUGGGGUAACGGCCCACCAAGCCGACGAUCAGUAGCCGGCCUGAGAGGGUGAACGGCCACAUUGGGACUGAGACACGGCCCAAACUCCUACGGGAGGCAGCAGUGGGGAAUAUUGCACAAUGGGGGAAACCCUGAUGCAGCGACGCCGCGUGAGUGAAGAAGUAUUUCGGUACGUAAAGCUCUAUCAGCAAGGAAGAAAAAGACGGUACUUGACUAAGAAGCCCCGGCUAACUACGUG
rnacentral:rRNA from 1 species